CUGCAAUCCAGUUGUUUGUUAGAAGUUAAUCUAACUUACAGGUAUAUUUAGGAAUGGGUUUAGUUUUUAUGUGCAAACUUGGGCUUCCAUGUUGAGUCGACAGAGCCUUUUUUUUCUUUUUUUCUAUUUUAAUAUUCCUAACUUGUCUUGGGACUGGACACUCGUACACAUUUCUGAUUUCUGGGAGAAGCAUUUCAACCGUGAAGUCCUUUCAAACUACUUAGGUUGAGAAUUGAGAAUAGCGUCUUGUUAGCGUUUCUGGAUUUUCAUUGCAACCGUGAAUUGAGAAUUGAGAAUAUCUACGAAGUUUUAAGAAAGGAUCAAAAUUUUCAUUGCUGCUUUGGUUAGCUUCGGAUUGUAUAAUUAUGCAUAUUUCAAGAUUUUAUUUUUCUUUUUAUCAAGGCUCGCUAUUUCUCCCUUCUUUUUCUUCUUAAUAUUUUCAAGAUUUUGCUGAUAUUUUAACCUCCCCUCCUCCCUUAAUAUUUCCUUUUCUUUUUAGCAGCUGCUGUGCUGUAACUCUCAUAUGCAAGGUUGCUUCCUCCUUAUAGUUUAAUUUAGUUUGCUGAUCAGGAAAGACAAUAAGAAACUGAUUUUUAUAGAAAUGGAACAAGCUAGAAAGAGUGGAUGGGUAGGUAUUCAACUCAUUAUUUAAAAUGCAGUUUAGGACUUAAAUUUAAUUCUCUGGCAUAAUGGAAACUGGAAAAAGAGCUUGUGUUUUAAGGGUUUGUACUAGAAUGGAUUUAGAUGUUCUGAGAUGUAAUGCAAUUGUUUAACUGGAGAAUCUUGGUUCCAUGUGGAAGUUGAAGGUUGCCAUUUGAUGUCUUAUUGUGAGCGGUGUCAAAAUUGAGAUAGGACUGCUAUUAAGCUUUGGUACUUUAAGAAACAGCAAGGAAAAGACAUCUUGGUGCUUUUGUGUUCCAAUCAGAUAUUUGGGCCAUUCUGUUGUAUUGUACAAGCAAAAAUGAUAUGGGAUUCAGCUGAUAUCGCAUUGUGUUUUAUUCCCAAUUGAAGUUAAUUUUAUCUUUCUUAGGUCCCUGGAUUUCUCGACGAAACCACGAAUUAUUGAAGACUAUAACAUAAUAUAAGUAGAAGUCUCUCUCACUUUCAUUUUUUCAUGAAUAUAAUCUUUGAAGUAACAAUUUAUUUGUAGUUUGUACAACUGAGUGAAUCUGGUUUUUAAAUCUUUGAUAUAGGGUAGCUUCAAAUUUUGAUAUAGGGUAGCUUCCUAAUGUAUUGUAUUAUGGACAUGUAUGUUUGAGCGUGUGACAUGUAUAAGAUGUUUCGAAUUGCAGUCUGCAUUUGGGGCACUGAUUUUUUUCGAUUCUUUUUCCCUUUUUGAUGACUUAAUGUGUCUUUAUUAAUUUGAUUAAUGCG
rnacentral:misc_RNA from 1 species